AGCUUGAGAUCACCAUUUUCCUCCAUCAUUUUCUUCUAAAUUACAAAAUGGAGAGAAUUAAUCCUGAUUGUCCGGUGAUUUACUUACCGGUGCCAAGGCCAAGUGACAACUGCCUUGCAAAAAUUGUAAAAGCCACAUAAAUCGCAAAAGAUACUUAGGGUUAAUAUUUUUCAUUACUCCUUCUGUAUUAUCGUAAAUAAUAUCUUUGAAUAAUUGAGCACUCAGGGUCAUGGAAUUUUACUAUUCGUUUUAGCAAAUAGGCCAAUAAAACAAAAAUGGAGAGAAAUGAAAUGGUUGGUAGUUGGUAGUGCAUUUUGAUUUGAUAAAAGUUUGUCCACAAUUUAAAUUAAUUCCAAUUAAGAAAUUAAAACAGAGUUAUGAAAGCA